CGAGGGCGGCGGAGCCGCGGACUACUUUUUCCUCCCCUCGGAGCGCGGAAGGAUAUUGCAGCACUGGCGGAGUGAUGGUGCAUCGCUCCUUCCUCUCGCCCCCCCGCCCUCUCCGCACGGGGUUUCCCACCCCGGCCCUGCUGCGGCGCGGGGGAGGGGAGCGCGGGGCGCCGCGCUGAGGGGCCGGUCCGCAACAUGGCUGUGCUCUGCGCGCGUACCGCGUCUGUUGUUUUUUAAGCUCUCUGUGUGGAGUCCGGGGAUGGCGGGGCAGAGCGGCUCCCUCAGGUGGUACCCAAGAACAGCUGCCCGGGUUCCUCCAGGAUCCAGUGAUGCCAGCACAGCCAGCACACAGAAGGAAAGAGAGAGAAGUGCGAACCAUAAAGAACUGCUGCCUCAGAGCUGCUGUUGCCAUAGAGCUUCUAAUGAGGAAAAAAACUGCAGCAAGGAUUUCUUCUGCUGCUGAAGUUAUCAGAUGUUUGACCGUUUCUCCUGGAAUUCUGUCUGAAGAUUGGUGCAGAGGGAAUUUUUCCAAUUGCAGCCUGAUAGCUCGAUCGAGAGUCAUCAGUACAGGCUAUAAAUAAAAGUAUAUUUGGGAUUCUGAAUGUUGUCAGCCUUACAGUCACUCACUAUGACGUUGUUAUUCCAUGAGAUUAUAGCAGUUUUACGUGCCAUUUCUGAGUUGUGAAUUGCACUGGGAUAAAUAUAUUGAUCGUGAGCAUAUCGGUUGCCAUUUCAAAGAUACAUCAUGAAGAAACAAAUGUGUAAGUAUAUUUUUUAGGAGUUGGGCUCAUCUUGUGAGUCACACUCGUUUUGUCUGCCUCGUGCACUGCAGAUAGACUAUCUGCAGACUUUGGAACCACUCUUCUUACCUACUGCAGUCCUCAGCGAAGUCAGUGCUUGAUGACAUCCUGUUAAGAUUUGCAUGGAUCCCUUGAGCUAACACAUAAAGAUCAGGUCUUAAUCCAUGAUUGAGGUAAUCCUUGAUAAUACAAGCAUUUAGUUCAGUGUCAGCAGGGGGUUGAGUCAUUUUCUGCACCAAAGAGUUACUAGUAUCUUGCUGGAGAGAAUACUUAUGUAUCUGAGUUCCACACACCGUUAGGCUGCGCAUUUCAGAGAAGUUCGGUCAGUUUAUGGAUCACAUUGUUUGGAGUUCUUCAGAGAUCCAAGACGAUACCUUAGUCAAGCAUGACUCUAUACAAUAAACACCCCACAUGGCAAAGGAAGGUGAUGGCAGUGCCUUUGAAUGGGAUACAGGCACUGUGGAACAAUAACAGGUAAUAAAGAAAGAAAAUUGGCUUACUCAUUCUGACAACCAGUGACAGCUCAAGAGGAGUGCAAUCCUGCCCCAGAGAAACACUGCUCCUACAGCUGCUAACCCUUAAAUGAGGGUGAAGAGGGGGUGGAUCCAGGCUCCACCCUUUCCAGUCAGUUAGGUGCAUUGUUUGCCCCUGAGCUCCAUGGGUUAGCCCUGCCUUCUCACCUGGUGCUCGGCCACUGGUUCAGGCUUUGACCUGGCAAUUCCACUGCAUCCCUUAUAUAGAGUGACUGUCCAAGGAGGAAUGAAUGAUCCUCAAGUAGUCUGAAAUUUAGUUGCCUUAGAUAAAUAUUUGGUGGAGAGUUAUUGCUGCAGACUUAGAUCAACUUAAUGUGAUUCUACAUUUACAAAAACAGAUAGCUAGAAGUACUCGCAUUGCUAACUGACAGAUUAUUCUCAGAUGUUGUGGGUAAGCAUCUUUUGCAUAAAGUAUGUAUAUUUGUUUUAUUCCAAUUGAUGGUGUGUAAGUGCGUGUUUAUCCUGGAAAAGUGAAGGCCUACUGUAGUGCUGAUACAGAAACAUCUUGGCUAAUGGACUGUCUGGUGUGUGAAAUGGAAUGCAGAUGCUUUAUGACCUUCAGAUCAAAGCUACGCUGUGCUAGGCUGUGUAGACUGCAACCAUCAUGUCUAUGAGCUUUUGUGGAAGUUUCAGAGGUGUUAUGGUUGUCUUAUGGUGGAAAAGGGACUUUAUCUAAAGCUAGCCUAAACAAAGGAGUUUAUAAAUCUGUUAAUCUGUCCAUGUGUUUGUAUGGAGCUCUGAAGAAAGAGGAGCUCUUGUACUUCAUGCUUGUUUUUUCUUCUUCAAUCUGGGUUAUAUUGUGGAAUUGUUUAAGAAAAGAAGGAAGUAUGGCAAAACAUUGCCCAGAACACCGUAGUCUCUGCAUUUGGGCCAGGGAAAAAAAGCCAAAGAAGCCACGAGAGUUGCUGUGAUUAUUGUCAGGAUCUGCACCAGUUCCCCGAACUUCUCAAAUGUAAGAGUUAUUUUAAGGGUUAAUGUUGCCCAGAAUCACUUUUUUUUUUUUCCUGCCUGCCAGGAGGUGCUGCACUACCCAGUGUCCAGUUCUGUCUCCUUCAAGUAGUAUAAUUCUUCUACACCAUGGGCACUGACGGAGUGCUCUAAGGCUUGAUUUGUAGAAAUGCAGAACAGCCAUUUAAAGCUAGUUAGCAGCACUGGCUUCUCAGCACAGUUUUGGAAUCAGGCCUCUAUGCUCAAGUGAGGUUUUCCAGUUUAGCUGUCAUAAAGCUGUUUAAACCAUCACUCUGAAUUCACCUAGACACCUAGAACUGAUUUAUUUUUUUUUUCUUCAGGAAGUAUUUUGUCAAUACUGGAUUGAUUCCAGGGAAGUUGGAAUCAAUAUCCCUUUAUUAUUAUUAUUAUUCACUGCGA